rnacentral:rRNA from 1 species
UUGACCUCAAAUCAGGUAGGACUACCCGCUGAACUUAAGCAUAUCAAUAAGCGGAAGAAAAGAAACUAACAAGGAUUCCCCUAGUAACUGCGAGUGAAGUGGGAAAAGCUCAAAUUUAAAAUCUGACAGUCUUUGACUGUCUGA